rnacentral:rRNA from 1 species
UACAGAGGUCUCAAGCGUUGUUCGGAUUCAUUGGGCGUAAAGGGUGCGUAGGUGGCGCCGUAAGUCAGGUGUGAAAUUUCGGAGCUUAACUCCGAAACUGCAUUUGAUACUGCGGUGCUUGAGGACUGGAGAGGAGACUGGAAUUCACGGUGUAGCAGUGAAAUGCGUAGAUAUCGGGAGGAACACCAGUGGCGAAGGCGACUACCUGGCCUGUUCUUGACGCUGAGGCGCGAAAGCUAGGGGAGCAAACGGG